UACGUAGGGGGCUAGCGUUGUCCGGAUUUAUUGGGCGUAAAGAGCGUGUAGGCGGCCGAGUAAGUCCGGUGUGAAAACUCGAGGCUUAACCUCGAGAUGUCAUCGGAAACUAUUCGGCUAGAGUCCGGAAGAGGAGAGUGGAAUUCCUGGUGUAGCGGUGGAAAUGCGCAGAUAUCGGAGGAACGACAGCGAAGGCGAGCUGGCUGGACGUAGGUGA
rnacentral:rRNA from 1 species